rnacentral:ncRNA from 1 species
CUUAAUUUGAAUCAACACGGGGAAACUUACCAGGACCAGAUGUUUUUUAUGACUGACAGGCUUCGGGUCUUUCAGGAUAUUGUUUUUGGUGGUGCAUGGCCGUUGGUGGUGCGUGGGUUGACCUGUCUAGCGUUGAUUCAGCUAACGAGCGAGAUUAUCGCCAAUUAUUUACUUUGCCGAAGUCCUUCGGUUAAAGUUCUAAUUGGGACUCCCUGCGAUUUUAGCAGGUGGAAGAGGGUAGCAAUAACAGGUCCGUGAUGCCCUUUAGAUGCUCUGGGCUGCACGCGUGCUACAAUGUUAGGAUCAAUAGGACUGCGAGCCUGAGAGGGUGCGCUACUCUUAUAAUCCCUAACGUAGUUGGGAUUGACGUUUGUAAUCAGCGUCAUGAACCAGGAAUCCCUUGUAAAUGUGUGUCAACAACGCACGUUGAAUACGUCCCUGCCCUUUGUACACACCGCCCGUCGCUCCUACCGAUUGGAUGACUCGGUGAAAUCACCGGAUGCUUACGAGCAGAAAGUGAUUAAAUCACGUUAUCUAGAGGAAGGAGAAGUCGUAACAAGGGUAACGGUAGGUGAACCUGCCGUUGGAUCAGUU